GACGAACGCUGGCGGCGUGCUUAACACAUGCAAGUCGAACGGAAAGGCCCUGCUUGCAGGGUACUCGAGUGGCGAACGGGUGAGUAACACGUGGGUGAUCUGCCCUGCACUUCGGGAUAAGCCUGGGAAACUGGGUCUAAUACCGGAUAGGAGCCAUUUUUAGUGUGAUGGUUGGAAAGUUUUUUCGGUGUAGGAUGAGCUCGCGGCCUAUCAGCUUGUUGGUGGGGUAAUGGCCUACCAAGGCGGCGACGGGUAGCCGGCCUGAGAGGGUGGACGCCCACAUUGGGACUGAGAUACGGCCCAGACUCCUACGGGAGGCAGCGGUGGGGAAUAUUGCACAAUGGGCGCAAGCCUGAUGCAGCGACGCCGCGUGGGGGAUGACGGCCUUCGGGUUGUAAACUCCUUUCGCUAGGGACGAAGCUUUUUGUGACGGUACCUAGAUAAGAAGCACCGGCUAACUACGUG
rnacentral:rRNA from 1 species